UGUGGGAGCGGGCUUGCUCGCGAAUGCGCAAUGUCAGUCGACCUCUCAUCGACUGACACGCCGCUAUCGCGAGCAAGCCCGCUCCCACA
rnacentral:misc_RNA from 1 species